GCAAACUUGGUCAUUUAGAGGAAGUAAAAGUCGUAACAAGGUCUCCGUUGGUGAACCAGCGGAGGGAUCAUUACAGAGUUGUAAAACUCCCUAAACACUUGUGAACUUACCUGUAUUGUUGCUUCGGCAGGCGGCCCCAGGGCGGGGCUGUAGCCUUUAUAGGCGCCUGCCGGAGGAUUUAAACGCUAAAUUUACUUGUCUCUCUGAGCAACUUAUCAAUAAGUUAAAACUUUCAACAACGGAUCUCUUGGUUCUGGCAUCGAUGAAGAACGCAGC
rnacentral:misc_RNA from 1 species